AAAACCUUCCAUUUCGGCACAAUGGUUCAAUAAGGAGUCAAACUUGGAACUCUAAGGAACAACAUGAAUAUCUUGAAUAUCUUUUUAAUUUGCCUAGCGGUUUAUUUACCACCCCUUGAGUGGACUAAAAAAUAAAAUAAAUAACCGGUGAUUAAUAUGUGAAUACAGGUUAAUAAAAAUCCUCUUGGUUUUUUUAAAUCGAAAUGGAUAGAACAUUUUAA